rnacentral:tRNA from 1 species
GUACCCGUAGCUCAGCGGAUUAGAGUAUCAGACUCCGACUCUGAGGGUCGCAGGUUCAAAUCCUGUCGGGUACACCA